GAGUACCACGUGAGUUGUAACAAUUGUGGAAAACGAAAAAGAUGAUUGAGUAUGUGGAUUUGCUUUACAAGCUCUUAUUUCACUCUUUCUGAUGUUAUGAUAAAUUGCAAUUGCUUCAAUGACUAUGGACUGUUGUUGGCUACUUCUCGGUAAGGUUUUUGAUUCAUACUUUGCUUUGUGAAGGAAUUGUUACUUUCCCAUAAGAAUCUUUAUGAUGUAUUGCUGUUCUAUGUGUGAUCAUGAUGCCCUCAUGUCCUUAUUAUGUUUUAUCGACACCUUCAUCCCUAAACAUGUGGACAUGUUUAUGGAUCUUGGUUUUCGCUUGAGGACAAGCGAGGACUAAGCUUGGGGGAGUUGAUACGUCCAUUUUGCAUCAUGCUUUCAUGUUGAUAUGUAUCACUUUAUGGACUGUUAUUAUACUUUGUGGUACCAUACUUAUGCCUUUUCUCUCUUAUUUUGCAAGGUUUAUUUGAAGAGGGAGAAUACCGGCAGCUGGAAUUCUGGACUGGAAAAGGAGCAAGUCUGAGUCCUCUAUUCUGCGCAACUCCAAAUGCCCUGAAAAUCAACGUGGAAUUUAUUGGGAUUAUAUAAAAAAUAUUGGGCGAAAGAAGUGCCAGAGGGGAGUUGCCACGGGCCCACAAGCCUGGUAGCCGCGACCUGCCCCCCUGGCCGCGGCUACAGGGCUUGUGGGCACCCUGGUGGCCCACUGGCCCCCCUCUUCUGCUAUAUGAAGGGUUUCGUCCGGAAAAAAAAUCAGGGCGGAGCUUUUUCGUGGAUUCUCCGCCGCCACGAGGCGGAACUUGAGCAGAACCAAUCUAGAGCUCCGGCAGGACGAUCCUGUCGGGGAAACUUCCCUCCCGAAGGGGGAAAUCAUCGCCAUCGUCACCACCAACACUCCUCUCAUUGGAGGGGACUCGUCACCAUUAACAUCUUCAUCAGCACCAUCUCAUCUCCAAACCCUAGUUCAUCACUUGUAACCAAUCUCCGUCUCGCGACUCCGAUUGGUACUUGUAAGGUUGCUAGUAGUGUUGAUUACUCUUUGUAGUUGAUGCUAGUUGGAUUACUUGGUGGAAGAGUUUAUGUUCAGAUCCUUGAGACUACUCAUUACCUCUCUGAUCAUGAUUAUGAUUAUGUUUUGUGAGUAGUUACUUUUGUUCCUGAGGACAUGGGAUAAGUCAUGCUAAUAGUAGUCAUGUGAAUUUGGUAUUCGUUCGAUAUUUUGAUGUGUUGUAUGUUGUUUUUCCUCUAGUGGUGUUAUGUGAACGUCGAAUACAUAACACUUCACCAUUAUUUGGGCCUAGAGGAAGGCAUUGGGGAGUAGUAAGUAGAUGAUGGGUUGCUAGAGUGACAGAAGCUUAAACCCCAGUCUAUGCGUUGCUUCGUAAGGGGCUGAUUUGGAUCCACUAGUUUAAUGCUAUGGUUAGACGUUGUCUUAAUUCUUCUUUCAUAGUCGUGGAUGCUUGCGAGAGGGGUUAAUCAUAAGUGGGAUGCUUGUCCAAGUAAGGGCAGUACCCAAGCGACGGUCCACCCACAUAUCAAACUAUCAAAGUAACGAACGCGAAUCAUAUGAACAUGAUGAAACUAGCAUGACAGAAAUUCCCGUGUGUCCUCGGGAGCGUUUUUCCUCCUAUAAGACUUUGUUCAGGCUUGUCCCUUGCUACAAAAGGGUUUGGGCCACUUCGCUGCACCGUUGCUAUUACUUGUUACUUGUUACUUUUCACCUGCUAUGUUUCACCUCACUACACCAUCACUUGUUAGCGCUACUUUCAGUGCUUGCAGUUAUUACCUUGCUGAAAACCGUUUAUCAGAGCCUUCUGCUCCUCGUUGGGUUCGACACUCUUACUUAUCGGAAGGACUACGAUUGAUCCCCUAUACUUGUGGGUCAUCAGGAUGAUCGAGCAUAGCCAGACAAUAUGAUUUUGUAGGGAUAACUUUCUUUGGCCUUGUAAUUUCGAAAGUUCAUGAUCACUUUGCUAGUUUGCUUGAAGUAUUUUUUUUUCAUGUCAAUAGUAAACUGUUGUUUUGAAUCUUACGGAUCUGAACAUUCAUGUCACAAGGAAGAAGUUACAAAGGACAAAUAUGUUAGGUAGCAUUCCACAUCAAAAAUUCAGUCUUUAUCACUUCCCUACUCGAGGACGGGCAGGAGUUAAGCUUGGGGAUGCUUGAUACGUAUCCAACGUAUCUAUAAUUUUUGAUGGUUCCAUGCUAUUAUCUUGUCAAGUUUGGAUGUUUUGUAUGCAUGAAUAUGCUAUUUUAUAUCUUUUUGGGACUAACCUAUUAACUCAGUGCCAAGUGCCAGUUCCUGUUUUUCCCGUGUUUUGACCCUUUUCAGAGGAGAAUAUCAAACAGAGUCCAAAUGGAAUAAAAUCUUCAGAAUGAUUUUAUCCGUAAUAGAAGAUACGCAGGGAACUUGAGAACAAAGGCAAAGGACCCCGGGGGAGGCCACAAGCCCCCUAGCCGCGACCGGGGGGGGGGGCGCCUACCAGGCUUGUGGGCCCCCCGUGGCUCCUUUGCCCUACUUCUUCCGCCUGUAAAUUCCCUAAAAAACCAAAACUGCCAGAGAGAGCCACGAAAAUACUUUUCCGUUGCCGCAAGCUUCUAUCUCCGUAAGAUCCCAUUUGGGGACCGUUCUGGUUCCCUGCCGGAGGGUGGAUUCGGACACGGAGGGCUUCUUCAUCAACACCAUUACCUCUCCGAUGAUGCGUGAGUAGUUCACCACAGACCUUUGGGUCCAUAGCUAGUAGCUAGAUGGCUUCUUCUCUCUCUUGGAUCUUCAAUACAAAGUUCUCCAUGAUCUUCAUGGAGAUCUAUCCGAUGUAAUCUUCUUUUGCGGUGUGUUUGUCGAUAUCCGAUGAAUUGUGGAUUUAUGAUCAGAUUAUCUAUGAAUAUUAUUUGAGUUUCCUCUGAUCUCAUAUAUGCAUGAUUUCGUAUCCUUGUAAUUCUCUUCGAGUUGUGGGUUUCGUUUGGCCAACUUGAUCUAUAAUUCUUGCAAUGGGAGAAGUGCUUGGUUUUGGGUUCAUACCGUGCGGUGUCCUCACCCAGUGACAGAAGGGGUAGCGAGGCACGCAUCAUGUUGUUGCCAUCAAGGGCAAAAAGAUGGGGUUUAUAUCUAUUGCAUGAAUUUAUCCCUCUACAUCAUGUCAUCUUGCUUAAGGCGUUACUCUGUUUGUUAUGAACUCAAUACACUAUAUGCAUGCUGGAUAGCGGUCGAUGUGUGGAGUAAUAGUAGUAGAUGCAGAAAGUAUCGGUCUACUUAUCUCGGACGUGAUUCCUAUAUGUAUGAUCAUUGCCUUAGAUAUCAUCAUGACUUUGCGCGGUUCUAUCAAUUGCUCGACAGUAAUUCGUUCACCCACCAUAAUAUUUGCUAUCAUGAGAGAAGCCUCUAGUGGACACUAUGGGCCCCGGGUCUACUUCACAUCAUAUUUUCAGCUCUACACUUUUACUUUGUUGCACUUUCCACCUUCAUAUCUCACCUUGCAAUUAAUCGUGAAGGGAUUGACAACCCCUUUAUAGCGUUGGGUGCAAGUUUGCUUGUUUUUGCGCAGGUACAUUGGUGACUUGCCUUAAUACUCCUACUGGAUUGAUACCUUGGUUCUCAAACUGAGGGAAAUACUUACUGCUACUGUGCUGCAUCACCCUUUCCUCUUCAAGGGAAAACCAACGCAAGCUCAAGAGGUAGCAAGAAGCCACAAGUAUGAUGCAACUGUCUCGUCCGACACUAGACCGACCCCAAACAAAACUAUGUUGCGGUGAUGGUUCAGGCCGACGAAUGGAACAAACAGAAGCCUAUACUUGUUAGAACGAUAUGUACUGUCGAACACCACGACACCACCAGAGACAACAUAGUCAAUACGGGAUUGUGGAUCAGCCCAGAAUAUGUUCCUCAAAUGGCCUUCGCUGUCUUUUGUGUAUUUGAAAAAGAAUUUUGGGUCUGAUUUUUUCAGUGCAAUCAUGUAGGUGAGCAAAUAUCUAGCAUUAUUGCCUUCUAUCUUGCGCUUCUUCUGGAUUGAAACAUGGUUCUAUAGGUCUCGAUCUAUAAAUCCAAGCUUGUCGGGACCUCCGGCAUUCUUCUCCAUUACAUUCAUAAUCUGAUGUGUUUGAAGUCCACCGACAGCAUACUCGAUGACAUCGGCCUUUUGUUCGUCAGUCAUUCUACGAUGAGACGAUAAGUAGGGAGUCAGGUCAGCAGGGACAAACAGAUGGUUAUGCUUGUCCACAAAAUUCUUGACGAACCAUAAGCCACUGCUAUCUUGUAGCUCAACCGGAAAAAGAGCGGGACACCCACACCGAGAAAGACCCCUCGGUGUUCUUUUUUUUCAGCUCUUUUAAAGUGCUUAAGGGUCUGCCAUCCUUGUUUGCAGCACUUGUGUGUCCUUCUGUAUGCAUUUUGUUUCGGACCCGGACCCCUGUACUUCAGAUCAUCCUUUCUAACACCAAACCCUUUUUUCUGGCAUAGCCUACGUAAAACAUGUAGGCUUCUACCUCAGUCCCGAAAGUCUUAUUUGCAAUCUCUAAGUAUUCCAUAUACUCAUUCACGUCUGAACCAACCAUGCCUUUAUUAUCAAUUUCUUUACCUUGCAAGUGUACAUCAUCCAUGUCUAUGCCAUCCUUGCAUGCAUACUCAUCUUUAUCAUCCAUUCAUGUACCAUCCAUUCCUUUGGGGUCCAUGGCUACGAAAUCAUUAUCCUUAUCAUCCAUGCAUUUGCCUUCGCUUCCUCUCUCACCCAUGUCCUUGUCAUCCUUGCGUGUAUCCCCCAAAUUUUCGCCAUCGUUGUCUUUAUCAUCCAUGUCGUUAUGCUGCCAACGAAAACAUAUAGUCAAUGUUAUAGAUGGAUAGCAUAAGUAAUAAUUAUGCACUACUCUCCUUAAAUAAUUGAUUUAAGUUUUCAUAUCGGAUUCAUGUAUCUAACCAAGUCCUUCAAAAUCUGUAAGUAAGUAUAAAAUAUGCCCUGACUGAAUCCAUAAAUAUUUAAUUGAUUGUACUUGCUGUAACUGAUGAUCUCCUAACUAAAUCCAAAGUCCACAAAUCCUUCAAGUCCCCUGAUAGAUCCACCCUGAUUGAUCAAUUAUCUCCAAACUCCAUUCAAAUUUUUCUCCUAACUAAAUCCAAAAUUAUGACCUAAGUAAAUCCAAAUUAUCUCCUAACUAAAUCCAAAAUAACUCCAAACUCCCUACAAAAAUAUUUGUCUCCUAACUAAAUCCAAAAUAUCUCGCAACUCAAUUCAAAAGUAUCUCCUAACUAAAUCCAAAAUAACUCCAAACUCCCUACAAAAAUAAUUAUCUCCUAACUAAAUCCAAAAUAUCUCGAAACUCAAUUCAAAAGUAUCUCCUAACUAAAUUCAAAAUAACUUUCUUUGAAUCCAAAUCUGCUGACAACUUUCUCAUGCCACAUAACCCUAACUAACUCCAUCAAUAUGUCCUAUGCAGAAGGGACGAGACAAGAUGAGAGAUUGCAGCGGCACUUACAUCUCAGAGGUGGUUGCGAAGAUCCGACGGGAUGGACAGCGAUGACGAUGAUCUGGCCUCGCGUCAGGGAAGGGGCGUCCAAUCGGGGACGGAGGGGAUUAGGCUGCUCGUCGGAAGAUCUGGCGCCACAUAACCCGAGGGGGAUCGCCUCCGAGCGAGGGGGUGGAGGAGGAGAAGGAGAAGGAGGGACUGGUGCGAGGGAGGGGGUGAAGGGGGAGAAGGAGGAGGAGGGAGUGGCAUGACGUGAUAGGGUUCAAGAGGAGCUGACGAACCACUCUGACGCAAUUCAAGUGUUAUGUUAAUGCAAUUAUUAAUUUGAAAUUUUAGGACAAAAAUGCCCCUAGACUUAAUUGGGCCACCCUAAACUUUAAUAUUCUUAGGUCGAAAAUGCUCUUGGGCUUUAAUAAGGCCCAAUUGAUAUCAUCUGUUGGAUCGCUUAUAUAAUACACGUGUUGUCGUAUAUUAUAAUGUGCCGUAAAAUCUCCCUCUUAAUUAAUUUUUUUUGGGACAAACAAGCAGGCGAUGAAUGUCGAAUAGCCAUAUGGUAAUGUACGCCGGACGAAGACAGAAGAAGAUGGACAAAAGACAUUGUGGUUAUGAUGCGAAACACCAUGAUCAUCGAACAAUCUGUAUGUUGGCCUCCAUUUAACUUAAUUUAAACUGGACUCGGCACGUACCGACAAACCUUAUAUCAGUAUACUACAACCACAUUUAAACUGGACUCGGAACAUGCCCAUAACUUAAUUUAAACUUGAUAUAUUACUAGAAAUAGUUAAGAAUUAAAUGAGUUCUAAAAUUGUGUGAGUAGAGAUAAGAUCAAUUGUGGUAGAUGCAAUAUUUUACUUGAUGUUCUUGUUUUCUUUCCAUGGGUGUUGCUUCAUUUCAGUUCAUUUGCGGCAUGAUUUGACAAUCGAUUGGCUCUGGCUAUCAAUGAUUGGCAAAAAAUUCUUUGGACUACAUCUUAGUCAAGAAUAGUGAACCGUCGCAAACACGAGAGGGCAUAAAGAUAUUUGAUCUUCAUAUGGGUCACGCGUAUUGACGAAUUUUAGUGUGGGCUAGAGACUUUUAGUUAAGUCUCUUCCCUCACCCCCAAUAAGAAAGUUAAUCUAGCAACAAGGAUAAUCAUACUUGAUUAUGGACGCAGGUAGCUAGUGUUCUCCGAAACCCUAGAAGCCACGUAAUUUAAAUCUGCCAAACAGAUUAGAGGACGCCUAACUUGAUUUUGCGGGAUACAUGUCAUGUUGUAUAAUCUUCGUCAUGAUAAUGAGUUUAUGUAUGAGAUGGCUACAUAAUGUAGCAUUAGAUGACAUACACGUCAUAAUACGAAAUGAUGGUUGGGGCCAAGGGAUUUUCACUUUAAUUACGAGUGUGUCAACUUUGUUAUUUUAUUUUUAUCGACUGGAGUGAUGGACGUGCUACGGAGGAGCCCAGAGUAAGGUGGCUUUACUAGGCGCAAGAGAUCAUGGUGGUGGCUACGACAUCACUCUAGAGUAGUUCAUGAAGACCUUGGAGGAUCAUGACCACAUCCCCGACGCCAAGGGCUAUAUUAUAUCAUUGUAUUAUGAAUAGACUGAUAUGUUUAUCCCAUUGUUGUUUGCACCCUUUGAUUGUGCGGUAGUCAAUUAUUAGGGUGACCUCACACUAGAAAGCAUCAAGUUGUUAGUGCUCUUCCUAGUGUAGCAACCAUCUAUAACACGUAGCUUUUCGUGGUACGUCAUGUCCACAUGAGUACUUUGGAUCGCGGGUGUAAGGCGGGUGAAGGCAUGGCAGAAACACUUAGUUGUCUUGAAGUUCUAGUAAAAUCAUUGUGCACAAAGCAUCGAAAAACAAACAAGAGUCACAUGGAGAUAUGAUCGGCAAAAUUUGCCUACCUCUUGAAGUUCACGUCAUCAGUGAUGCCCACAUCAAUGGUUGUGAAUAAUAUUAGGGUCUUGAAUCACUUAAAUCAAUUAUGAGAGAUAUUGGUUUGAGUGAGAGCACAAUUAUGAAUUAAUUAAGUUUAAUCAUAAGUGCAUAUAAUUAUGGGUUAACUUAAGCGAAAUUAGAAGGACACAUCUUAAAGCGAAACUAUCGGUUAACUUCUUCUUGAGCUAGCUCCUUUCUCCUUGUUGUUUUUUCUCCCUUGAUAUUUCCCUAUGAUAUUUCAAUACAAGGUCAAUUUUGGUACCAGUGUAAUAGAAAAUAGAGUGUAUUGGAAAAAAUAGCGGAAAUAAUUUCAUCACCUAGGGAUAUUUUAGUAGCUCUUAAAAUAGAACAUUAGAAGGAUAAUUAUUUAUUAUGUGUAUGAGAUAGGAAAAUUUACCAUAUGGCAGGUGUAUAGUCUAUAUUUCCUAAUUUUGCAUCUUCCUUCAUUGACUCACUGGUGAGGCGUGCAUGAUUGUGUCUUUCAGCCCCAUCUUAAUUCAUCCUAUUGCGUCAGAUAUCCAGGGACCAUCGUGUAUGUAGUGUGUCAUCCUGAAGGAAGGGAUUACAAAUUUAGAGCAAGUUCUGAAAAGUGACGGUGUAUAAUUGUAAUACUUAAAAUAAACAAAUGCAUGUUCUAACAUGCCGAAAGAAGGCACUAAAAAGUAUAUAGUUCUUCCUUUGUGUUUCCGUAGCCAAGUUUAGCCCAAGGUUCAAAAAAAAUAUAACGCAAUUCACUACGACAAUAGAAGAAAUGUUGAAGAGUACAAUUACAACUCUAAAAUUGAACCUAUUCAUAAGCAUGUGACAAUUGUAGGCUCAUAAGAGAAAUAAUAGAUGAGAAGAACAACCAAGUCAAAUUUAGGUAGAUUUUAAAACUAGGUAAAUAGGAACUUGCAAUGUAAUAUAAAAAUUGCAGACAAUGAUGAAGAUGAAGGAACCUUAUUGAUCAAAGAAGACAUUUAGGAUCAAAUGCAACUUGACACCAUGCAUGAUGAAGCAUUAGGUGAAAGCGGCGCAUUUUUCGGAUAAUCCAUGUUGCAUUCCAAUAGUUACAAAACAUAAAUAGUGAUGCCAAAUUGGGAUGAAAAAUGAGAAAAAGAAAUAGUUGUGAGAGGUCUUUGUAUUUGCACUUCACGUACUACCUUCGUACUUGUGUAAACUGGUCAUCUUUAAACAUGAUCAACUCCCAACACUGUAUGACCAAUCAUGCCAACUGCAUUGCAACUUGUUCUCGUGUCUCCUCUUACUUCACAUUUCACUUACUCCCUCCAUCUCGGUUUAUAAGUCUUCCUAGGUUGUGCACCGUAACCAAGACGGAAAGUAAAACAAGAGAAAUUAAUGUUAACUUGCUAAUUAAUACGAUUGCAUGCAAUGAAUUGACUAAUGCAUGUCGUGCUAGUUAGUAUCAAGUCAUUAAAAACACACAUGUCCCCCGUCUCUUAUUGGUUGAUUUUUUUAUUCAAGUCAAAAAAACAAACGAGGUGAAAGUUAAUGUAUUGUGCCUUAGUGUUUUGGGAUUAUUUGAUUUUCGUAAGAUAACUUAUAAAUCGAGAUGGAGGAAGUACUAAAUUUAUCAAGCAUGGAAUUUAUGUUAUGUAAUGAGCAUUUUUAUAGUCAGAAAAAGAUUUUUUAGUCAAACAUACGAAUGGUAGACUUUUGGUGCACCUUUAAAGAUCAUUAAUGCGAAAUACCAUAGGAAUUCGGUCUUUUAUGGUCUUUUGUGUUAGUUUUCGGUCACACAAAGAGAUCGUUGUAAUGUCCUCCUCCUUCUGGUGCACUGGCAUUUGGUCUGGCGUCUGCCGAAACCGACUUAUCCAUGGACUUGUUUUAUGGGCACGGAAGAAACACAAAAGGUUGAUUUUUUUUUUCUAGUUUAAAAGAAAAGGUUGAUUUUUUCCUUUUUAUAGAACUUCAUUCAACACAAAAUAGCAAGCUGUUUUGAUGCACCUUUCCGUUCGUAAAGGAUGACGAGGCAUCAAUCAUCUCAUUUUUUCCAGCUUUAAAUAAACUAUGAAGAUCGGCUGGGCUAGCAAAUCCACUAGCAUGGGCACCGACCACUAAUAAUGGGCCAAAGCAUUUGUCUAAGUUUAUACUUCCUCCAUCCCUUUAUACAAGGCCAUCAUGAAAGAUAUAUUUUACAUACAUCUAUAUAAAGCUACUAACAGUUAGUAAGGCAAAAAUUAAUGUUGUUCUCUUGUAGUAACAACUUACUCCCUCCAUUCCUUUAUGAACUAACAGUUAGUAAGGUAAAAAUUAAUGUUGUUCUCUUGUAGUAACAACUUACUCUCUUCAUUUCUUUAUGAAAGGUCUAUUAUUUUCGCGCAUAAUUAUACAUGUUAAGACAAAAUUAACCUUGGCUAAAUCAUUGAUUAGAGGCAAUAAAAUUAUUUAGGCUAGAAAAGUAAGAGAUACACAUGAGAGAUUCUUUCCUUCUUCUCUUUAUAAUAAGAGAUGCAUGCAAUCAGAGGAGAGAUAUUUCUUUUUUUAAGGGCUAAUGAUGGAAUUACAAAGAAUUAGAAGAAAUGCACCUUACAUUGUGAAAUUUUAUCAAAAAACAAAUACACCUUAUAAAGGUUCCUUUAUGAAAGGUGUAUUAUUUUCGCGCAUAAUUAUACAUGUUAAGAUAAAAUUAACCUUGGCUAAAUCAUUGAUUAGAGGCAAUAAAAUUAUUUAGGCUAGGAAAGUAAGAGAUACACAUGAGAGAGAUUCUUUCCUUCUUCUCUUUAUAAUAAGAGGUGCAUGCAAUCAGAGGAGAGAUUUCUUUUUUUAAGGGCUAAUGAUGAAAUUACAAAGAAUUAGAAGAAAUGCACCUUACAUGUGAAAUUUUAUAAAAAAAUAAAUACACCUUAUAAAAAGGAACAGAGGGAGUAUUUAAUAAGUACUACAUGUAGUCAUAAUGACACAUAGUUUUUUUCCUUCUCAUUCCUUUCUUGAAUAAUGGUCCUGGUUAAUGAAAAAGAAAAUUUGAUUUACAAAACAGUCAUUAAUUUUUACCUUGUUAAAUAUGAGUUUGUGGCUUUUAUAGAGGAAUGGAGGGAGUAGCGGAUAUUUUGUCUGUUGGUGUGGCAAUGCGACGUAAUCCGUAAAUGCUAAAAUGCCGGCCUACCAACUACCCCUCCGGGAUAAAGAUUUCGAUGGUCCCAGUGGCUGCUUAUGGUGUGCCGCGUGCCCCGUGUGUCCCUCGUUGAAACGGGCCGGUGAUCUAACACUGAAGCAGCAGCAAUUAGCACAGAGCAUACAAGGCAUCAGAUUUGAGCAAGACGACUAUAUUACCGAAGAGCAAUACAAGAUACAGUGGUCAGUGGACACUGUGACACUACUGAGCCCAGUGGGGUACCAGCCACAGCACACUUCCGACUUAACCUGACGCGACUCACCGUAGAGUACCAACUGACUACCAGCUACGAUUCUACGAAGCACACAUGACCAUACUACGUACGAUCGCCUACGUGCGCCUGAACUACUACAUUAUUCGGUGCAUGGACACUAGGGUAAACCAACGGCCGACCUAAGCAGAGUCGUCUUGCUUGCUAGGCUACGUACGCACUGGUCGAUUCAUCAUCUAGGACUUAGUCUUGAACUUGGACUCG
rnacentral:lncRNA from 1 species